CCUGGGGCUGAUAAACCAGCGCCAGCUCUCUCCAGGAGCGUUUACUUUACCAAGCCCUUCCGAGCAAGAUUCAGAAAGGAUGCGCUUUGGGGCCGCAACACAUCUUCGCUGGGGGAAUCUCGGGGUUCAUUUCGACGUUCAACUCUCUACUCCUAAGGGAAGAAAGGCCUUUGAGUGGUGUAGACGGGUCCCACUCCCUCAGCCCCACCCGCAACCUUGAAAAACGCAAUCUGUUAGCUUUAGGAUAAAUCGGAUGUGAAGUAGGCUAAAGUAGAGGAAGCAGAACCACGACUUGAGGAAAGGAGACAGCCUUGGUUUUAAUCCAGUGUUGAAAUAAGGUCCUGGUUCAUCCCUGUCUAAUCCUGUUUCCAAAGCACUACAUCAACAAAGGCUUAGUUGUCAAGAAAAAAAAAAAAAAGGCAAUUCGUGGUAAAGGAAAGACACACCUGAAGACAAUGAAGGCAACAGGCUGCCAAGGAAGCAGAUAGUGGAGACUUUUCCCUAAGCUUAUUAAUCCCACAGGGAGGUCUCUGGAAGGGGAAGGGGCUGUGAGGGGUGGCGGAGGUAGAACAUGGAACUUCAUAGCCUCACCAUGGAGAAUAUGAAAGUUUCUAAGGGAUAACUUAGAGGCAAGGUGAGGCAGACUCGCUGAGCUGGAUAAAGGUUUACAGGGAUAAGGGACACUUUGUUUUUUAUAAAUAUACAUGACAAUCUCAGUUUGGGUCAGGUGAUAAGUGUUUCCCAGCCUGGUCCUGGGAGAGGCAGAGACUUAAGGAAGGGAUGGAUCAUUUUGGAGCCUGUAUGCAGGGACUCCAGGCUACCAACUGCAGAAUUCAUUAUUUCUGAUGCACAUUUUUCUCUCUUCAGCUUUUCCUUUCUCAAUGAAUGGUAGCUGUUUUUAAUUCUUCUGCUGCUGCUGCUACUGCUGUCAUUCUGAUUAUAACCUACCUUUUUCAAGUUUAAAACCUUCUCUCUGAGGGAUCUCAAACUCCACUUGCCAUUCUGUUGGAGUUCAGCUGUGAGCUGGAUAAUCUUUGAGAACUUUGUGUCAUUCAUUUCCUCUCCUGGAUCUGGGUUGUGGUCAACUGGCUUAAUGGCUUCUGAGUAUGACUUCCAUCAGCAUUAGCAACUGAGGUGAUAUUAAAGGCAACUACCACAGAUCUGAAACCAAUGCCUCAUACUCACAGGUGUGACCUGUGACCCAGAUCCAAUACCCAGCAUCCUGAUCCCCUGGAACCUCCCAGUUUUAUAUACUUCCCCAGAUAAAUAUUUAGAGAUCUGGCAAGGAAUAUCCUGAUGUUCCGUCAACGCAACUCCACAGGUUACAAAGUUUUCCCAGAGUCAAGCCUCAAUUGUAGAUGGAGGGUGGGAGGAAGGCAGUGGAGGGAGGGCCGCAGUCAACCACUCUGAGCCUCCUCACCCUCCAAGCCAGGCUUUCCAGGUCGACUGGGGACCAAAGGGUGUCCAGCAGCCUCAAAUGAGAGGGAGAAUCAGAUUUUGAGAAGGUUGAUUCUAGGCCUUAGGAAUGUCACCAAGGUGAGGGACUCUCCAUCAAAUUCUGUGCACAGCCAGGAAAAGGGGCAUGAUCCCAACACUCAGUACCUGAGUCCCACCUCAUCCUCUCUUUUAGGCUGUACGCAAUUCCUAACGUAAAAAGAGAGAUGCUUCUUGACACACAGUGGCACCUGAUCCCAGCUAGCCCUUGCAAGUGUGGACUUAGAUUAUAAAUUGGGCUGCUGGGGGAUAAGCUGCAUAAAGCAAUUCUCUCCUGGGAGGUGGGGGGGGGCAUCUAAACAGAACGUACACAUGCCCAUGAUGUUCUAGCUUGGAGUUUAUCCAUGAAAUACUUUCUGGAAGCCUGAGGAAAGGUACAGCAUCUGAUCUUCUCAAAGGAAAAGGAGAACAAAAAAGAAAAGAAAAGAAAAAGAUUUGGGGGAGUACACAGCAGUUAGUAACCACAACAAUAAUGAUUCGCAUUGCUUUGUUACAGCCUUAGAAAUAUAGUUUAUUUCUUCACAAACUAUGCUCUCAGAACCAAAUUACUCCCCUGCUCAUAUUGCAAAUUAACUGUUUGAGUGAAAACCAUCUUUUAUCAUUUCAAUUAAAAUGAAUUGCAGGUGUUUCAUGAUUUAAUCUGGGGGUAUUACUCUAAUGUUGAUGGGGGACUGUAUCCCCAAACAUGUAUGGAAAGCCAAUAGUUUUAACAGAUUUUCAUAAACAUUUAAAAAUGACCAAUGUGUCUUCACUUUUAAGUCGCCACUUGGGGAAGUACUCUCUUAAAGAAUUCAAAGACCAACUUGUCACAAACAAUAGUAACAGCAUGGCUACUAUAAACAAUACUGUACAUAUAUUUCAAAGUAGCAGAAAUAAUAGGCAGGGGGAUUGAAACAUAUUUGUUCUCUUGAAUUUGCUGAUUGAAAGGCCAAUUACCAGAUUGAUUUGGUAGUCUUCUGGUAAUGUAAUAUAAAAGUAAACAAGAUAUUCAUAAUCUCCUUUAACAUUUUAAGGAGAACCCAUAUUUUAAGAAUAAAUAAUAUCUAGAAUU